rnacentral:rRNA from 1 species
GUGGAGUAUGUGGCUUAAUUCGAUGCAACGCGAAGAGCCUUACCUAGGCUUGACAUGCUUGUCGUACUCUCCCGAAAAGGAGAGGUCACUUCGGGUGGACAAUGCACAGGUGCUGCAUGGCCGUCGUCAGCUUGUGUCGUGAGAUGUUUGGUUAAGUCCAGCAACGAGCGCAACCCCUGUGAACUGUUGCCAGCGCGUAAAGGCGGGGACUCUGUUCAGACUGCCCAGAUCAACUGGGAGGAAGGUGGGGACGACGUCAGGUCAGUAUGGCCCUUACGCCUAGGGCUGCACACGUACUACAAUGCCCAGCACAAUGAGAACCGAGACCGCAAGUUGGAGGAAAUCUGCAAAACUGGGCCCAAUUCGGAUUGGAGGGUGCAACUCGCCUCCAUGAAGUCGGAAUCGCUAGUAAUGCCGUAUCAGCUACGACGGCGUGAAUACGUUCCCGGGUCUUGUACACACCGCCCGUCACAUCAUGGAAGCCGGCCGCACCCGAAGUAUAUGCGCUAACUUUAUUGAAGCAGUAUCCUAAGGUGAGGCUGGUAACUGGGAUG